rnacentral:rRNA from 1 species
GCUACACACGUGCUACAAUGGUGGUGACAGUGGGCAGCGAGACCGCGAGGUCGAGCUAAUCUCCAAAAGCCAUCUCAGUUCGGAUUGCACUCUGCAACUCGAGUGCAUGAAGUUGGAAUCGCUAGUAAUCGCGGAUCAGCAUGCCGCGGUGAAUACGUUCCCGGGCCUUGUACACACCGCCCGUCACACCAUGGGAGUUGGUUUUACCCGAAGGCGCUGUGCUAACCGCAAGGAGGCAGGCGACCACGGUAGGGUCAGCGACUGGGGUGAAGUCGUAACAAGGUAGCCGUAGGGGAACCUGCGGCUGGAUCACCUCCUUUCUAAG